CCUACGGGUGGCAGCAGUCGAGAAUCAUUCACAAUGGUGGAAACCCUGAUGGUGCGACGCCGCGUGGGGGAAUGAAGUUCUUCGGAUUGUAAACCCCUGUCAUGUGGGAGCAAAUUAUAAAGAUCGUACCCCACGAGGCAGAGCCGGCUAACUCUGUGCCAGCAGCCGCGGUCAUACAGAGGUCUCAAGCUGUGUUCGGAAUCACUGGGCGUAACGCGUGCGUAGGCUGUUUCGUAAGUCGUGUGUGAAAGGCGCGGGCUCAACCCGCGGACGGCACAUGAUACUGCGAGACUAGAGUAAUGGAGGGGGAACCGGAAUUCGCGGUGUAGCAGGGAAAUGCGUAGAUAUCGAGAGGAACACUCGUGGCGAAGGCGGGUUGCUGGACAUUAACUGACGCUGAGGCACGAAGGCCAGGGGAGCGAAAGGGAUUAGAUACCCGUGUAGUC
rnacentral:rRNA from 1 species